rnacentral:lncRNA from 1 species
AAGUUUGCUGAAGAAGCCAAUGCAGAGUUUGACAAGGUUGGAGAAGACGCCAUGAAAGACCUUGACGAAGCUAGCACAAGGGUAUGUAUCAGUUAAUAACGAUAACUUCGAUAUCUAGGCUGAUAUAAUGGAAUUAUGUCGUAAAGAUUGAAAAUUUUGUCGUUCUUACCUUGAUUCUUUGAUGCAACUUGAUUCAUGAGAAUCGUCUUAACAUUAUAAGUCAAGUGAACUCAGAAGCUUCCAAAGAUUGUGAUCUGCUCGAUGAUCUUACAGAACAGAAAAAUAGAUAAGCUGAUAUUAAUAUUUUCUUUCCGGGUGAUUGAGCAGAUACUCGAGAAUAUCGAGAGCAAGAUGCAAGCUUUUGAGGAAUCUGCGGGACUGAACAGAUUAGAGAUAGAGGAGAACGAUAAUAAGUUGGCUGAGUUUGAGGAGAAGAUCGAGGUAGACCGGAAUGAAGGAUUGUUCUUUAAAAGCUUAGGCGACAAAAAACCGGUGGAUAAAGAGAAAGCUAAAGAGGAGACUGAGAAGAUAGAAGAGGUUACUAAAGAAAGUGCAGGAUCACAAGCAAGAAGGAAUCUUUACCUCGGGUUAAUUGGGAUCGUGGUUCUUGCAAUUGCUGAGUCCUUCGUUUCUGCACCAGAUUGGAGAAAAGUCGCAAUUCUCGGAGCUAUCCUUAUACCACUCCUCACUCAAUUCGUCUACGAGCAGACACUGUUAUCAGAAAAGGCAGAUAAAGGAAAAGGAAUCAAAAAGAAAUAAACGAGAGACACAGAGAAUUGGACUCCAAUGAAAAGAGAUAUACAUAGCUUGAUGGCAUAGACCCAAAGUGGGAAACUUAUAACUUUUGGUUUGGCACACCAAGCUACAGUUUUUCUUUUACAUCAACAAAUAUCAGAUCUCGAUGAUGUUUACUCGAACCAUUCAAACCAAUUGUGUCACCCAAGUGUUUUUGAUGUAUGUAUAGUGCUAGUUCAUCAGGUGAUAUAGCUCACUUGAUUCUUAUUUGCCUUACUGUGAUUUAC